rnacentral:rRNA from 1 species
UACGAAGGGGGCUAGCGUUGCUCGGAAUCACUGGGCGUAAAGCGCACGUAGGCGGAUCUUUAAGUCAGGGGUGAAAUCCCAAGGCUCAACCUUGGAACUGCCUUUGAUACUGGGGAUCUCGGGUCCGGAAGAGGUUGGUGGAACUCCGAGUGUAGAGGUGAAAUUCGUAGAUAUUCGGAAGAACACCAGUGGCGAAGGCGGCCAACUGGUCCGGCACUGACGCUGAGGUGCGAAAGCGUGGGGAGCAAACAGG